UACGUAGGGGGCAAGCGUUAUCCAGAUUUACUGGGUGUAAAGGGCGUGUAGGCGGGAAAGCAAGUCAGAUGUGAAAACCAUGGGCUCAACCUGUGGCCUGCAUUUGAAACUGUUUUUCUUGAGUACUGGAGAGGCAGACGGAAUUCCUAGUGUAGCGGUGAAAUGCGUAGAUAUUAGGAGGAACACCAGUGGCGAAGGCGGUCUGCUGGACAGCAACUGACGCUGAGGCGCGAAAGCGUGGGGAGCAAACAGG
rnacentral:rRNA from 1 species